rnacentral:rRNA from 1 species
UACGUAGGGUGCGAGCGUUAAUCGGAAUUACUGGGCGUAAAGCGUGCGCAGGCGGCGCGUUAAGACAGGUGUGAAAGCCCCGAGCUUAACUUGGGAAUGGCGCUUGUGACUGGCGUGCUGGAGUGUGGCAGAGGGAGGUGGAAUUCCACGUGUAGCAGUGAAAUGCGUAGAGAUGUGGAGGAACACCGAUGGCGAAGGCAGCCUCCUGGGCCAGCACUGACGCUCAUGCACGAAAGCGUGGGGAGCAAACAGG